UAGGGAAUCUUCGGCAAUGGACGAAAGUCUGACCGAGCAACGCCGCGUGAGCGAAGAAGGCCUUCGGGUCGUAAAGCUCUGUUGUUAGAGAAGAACAUGGGUGAGAGUAACUGUUCACCCCUUGACGGUAUCUAACCAGAAAGCCACGGCUAACUACGUGCCAGCAGCCGCGGUAAUACGUAGGUGGCAAGCGUUGUCCGGAAUUAUUGGGCGUAAAGCGCGCGCAGGCGGUCUCUUAAGUCUGAUGUGAAAGCCCCCGGCUCAACCGGGGAGGGUCAUUGGAAACUGGGAGACUUGAGGACAGAAGAGGAGAGUGGAAUUCCAAGUGUAGCGGUGAAAUGCGUAGAUAUUUGGAGGAACACCAGUGGCGAAGGCGGCUCUCUGGUCUGUUACUGACGCUGAGGCGCGAAAGCGUGGGGAGCAAACAG
rnacentral:rRNA from 1 species